rnacentral:rRNA from 1 species
UGCGUAGGCGGGUUAAUAAGUCAGUGGUGAAAGUCUGCAGCUUAACUGUAGAAUUGCCAUUGAUACUGUUAACCUUGAGUAUAGUUGAGGUGGGCGGAAUGUGUCAUGUAGCGGUGAAAUGCUUAGAUAUGACACAGAACACCGAUUGCGUAGGCAGCUCACUAAACUAUUACUGACGCUGAGGCACGAAAGCGUGGGGAGCGAACAGGAUUAGAUACCCUGGUAGUCC